AGAGAAAGGAGAACAACCAACCUCCCUAAGAC
rnacentral:tRNA from 1 species